GACGAACGCUGGCGGCGUGCUUAACACAUGCAAGUCGAACGGAAAGGCCCUGCUUUUGUGGGGUGCUCGAGUGGCGAACGGGUGAGUAACACGUGAGUAACCUGCCCUUGACUUUGGGAUAACUUCAGGAAACUGGGGCUAAUACCGGAUAGGAGCUCCUGCUGCAUGGUGGUGGUUGGAAAGUUUCGGCGGUUGGGGAUGGACUCGCGGCUUAUCAGCUUGUUGGUGGGGUAGGGGCUUACCAAGGCUUUGACGGGUAGCCGGCCUGAGAGGGUGACCGGCCACAUUGGGACUGCGAUACGGCCCAGACUCCUACGGGAGGCAGCAGUGGGGAAUAUUGCACAAUGGGCGGAAGCCUGAUGCAGCAACGCCGCGUGCGGGAUGACGGCCUUCGGGUUGUAAACCGCUUUCGCCUGUGACGAAGCGUGAGUGACGGUAAUGGGUAAAGAAGCACCGGCUAACUACGUG
rnacentral:rRNA from 1 species